UGUUGCUGCUGUGUUUCAGGGUCGCUAGAUGGGAACAGGCAGGUGUUGGUCGGCGGGUGGUUACAAAAUUAUAGUUGAGCUUCUUCAAGGUGAUGCUUGGAUGACUCUGACAGUAGUCCAUUCAUCAGUCACCCAGGAGUUCUCACUUUUGCAAUAGCCCCUGUUAUCUCCUAAUUGUUAAGGGAGCCAUCCUUGUUGAAAAUUGAAGAGAGGGAAAGUGAUAAAGAUGUGGACACCAGACUGAAGACUGAAAAGAGAAAGAACUGACCAUGAACUGGGACAAAGCUAAAUGCACUGUAUCUAAUCUACCUAUAAAAUCAGAACUCUGAGACAGAGUAAAUGUAAGAAAUUCUGCCAGGAUACACCUCCAAGUAGAAAACCCA